CUCCCAGAGUGCUGGGAUUACAGGCGUGAGCCACCGCGCCCGGCCUCGGUUUUUAAACUCAUGGAAACACUAAACACAAAAAAAUCGUGAUGAUUUCGGAAUGUAUCAGCGCCAGGUAAAGAUUAGUUGUGACUGUGGCCUCGUCUGAUGCAGAUUCCGCUUGUGAACAGUGAUUUAUCGGAGCCGCCUCCACGUCAACACGAACCGAGACGCGUUGACCAUAAAGCUGUUCUCGAAAGUGCCCACCGUGGGCCAGGUGAACCGGACGGCAGGGGCCGGCUGCAACCCCGUGCAAAGCUCUGGAGGGCAGGAACGUCAUCGGUUUGCUCUUAAACGCCUGGAUGGAACGCAAGCAGCAGGGAGCAGCAGUCAAGGUUGGCUGCUAGGACAUGGGACUGCAGUGGGGCACCGUUAGAGGGUCUUUUACCAGUUUGGGACGGCGCCCAUCGGCCGCGACACCUCGCCCACAGCCGGCACCCACAGUCCACACGGCGGUCUGUGCUGCGCAUUGACGACGCGUCCGUCUUGCUCUCGUGUGACGAGGAAAGCUUGAGAGCACUGGAAGCUUGUUCUACUUUACAGGCAGCUUUGCUUGUCAUGUAUAUCAGAAUAGGUAACGUAAACAUGUAUGUUUUCAUGACAUUAUUUUUAAAUGUUCACAAUUUUAUUUUGAUAAAUGAAAAAUUAGAAAAGUCACAUCACGGCUGUUGGCUAAAGUAGACGCCUGCGUUCAUCUGUGGCUGUCGACUACAGUCGACACUGGGCUGUGCACGUUCAUCUGUGGCUGUCAACUACAGUCGACG
rnacentral:lncRNA from 1 species